rnacentral:rRNA from 1 species
GACGAACGCUGGCGGCGUGCCUAAUACAUGCAAGUCGAGCGAAGUUUUUCUGGUGCUUGCACUAGAAAAACUUAGCGGCGAACGGGUGAGUAACACGUAAAGAACCUGCCUCAUAGACUGGGACAACUAUUGGAAACGAUAGCUAAUACCGGAUAACAGUAUUUCUCGCAUGAGAGAUAUUUAAAAGUUGGUUAUGCUAACACUAUGAGAUGGCUUUGCGGUGCAUUAGCUAGUUGGUGGGGUAAAGGCCCACCAAGGCGACGAUGCAUAGCCGACCUGAGAGGGUGAUCGGCCACCCGGGGACUGAGACACGGCCCAGACUCCUACGGGAGGCAGCAGUAGGGAAUCUUCCGCAAUGGGCGAAAGCCUGACGGAGCAACGCCGCGUGAGUGAAGAAGGAUUUCGGUUCGUAAAGCUCUGUUGUUAGGGAAGAAUGGAUAUGUAGUAACUAUACAUGUAAGAGACGGUACCUAACCAGAAAGCCACGGCUAACUACGU